GAUGAACGCUGGCGGCGUGCUUAACACAUGCAAGUCGAACGGAAAGGCUCCUGCUUGCUGGGGUACUCGAGUGGCGAACGGGUGAGUAACACGUGUGUGAUCUGCCCUGCACUUCGGGAGAAGCCUGGGAAACUGGGUCUAAUACCGGAUAGGACGCUGGCUUGGAUGCCAUUGUGGAAAGUUUUUUCGGUUUGGGCUGGGCGGGCGGCCUAUCCGCUUUUUGGGGGGGGAAUGGUCUACGAACGCGUCGGCGGGUAGCCGGCCUGAGAGGGUGUACGGCCACAAUGGGACUAAGGGACGGCGCAGAGGCCUACAGGAGGCAGCGGGGGGGAGUAUGGCACAAUGGGAGCGAGUGUGAUGAGGCGGCGUCGGGUGGGGGAUGACGGCCUGCGGGUUGUGAACUGCUUUCGCUAGGGACGAAGCGGAAGUGACGGUACCUGGAGAAGAAGCACCGGCUAACUACGUG
rnacentral:rRNA from 1 species